rnacentral:misc_RNA from 1 species
UGCAGAAGGCCUAUGGUCCUACCAGUAAACCAAUCCCUUUUCUCCAGCUACAAUUUACAAGGAAAAAUGGAGGGAUUUGAAAUGGGUAAUGUAAGGGGUUUUCUUCUUAUUUCAAAGCUUGGGUUUUGCUUAGAUUCUAGAUAGCCAGUAUUGAAGGGUGUGCAUCACUAUCAGUGUCUAGAAAACUAGCUGAAAAACUGCUAGGUGAUUUUGCUGCUACUUAUUGUUAAUUAUCUGUAAAUUUACUUGUCAGGACUAGGGAUAGCUAGGGAUGGGACGUCUCUUUCAUGUUUUCGUAAAAAGACUUUCUGUGUCAUUCUCGGUGAGGUGAGUCUGAUAUUUUAUGGUACGGAGAGUCUCUCAUCCCCACGACUUUUUCCCUGUUUUGGGUCUUAAGACAUGGAUUAGAAUUUUAUUGAUGAACAUGCCUGCUCUUUUGUUGCAUCAUCUAUAUUUCCUCAACUGGGCG